AAACACAUGAAAAACGAAACGAAAAGAAACGAAAAGAAAAAUUAGAACGAAAAGAAAAAUUACUAAACAAGAAAAGAAACGACAAGAAAAAUUGGUAUUUUCUCAUCUCAUUGUUUCUCUGACGGCUGUGAUGGAGUGAUUGAAGCUCUCUCUUCAAUUGAUUUUGGUAAUAUCACAUCCCACUUUUUAUUUUAAUAACAUUUUUCACAUUUGAAUUUUUACACCGUUACAAUAAAACUUUCAUAAUUUGGUACAAAACAAAAAUCCAAAUUAGCUUAAUUUUAAUAUAUGAAUUGGGUAUUGGCUUGUUUUCAAUCCGAGAAAAAAAAAUUGAAGCCUGUUAUAUAAUUAUUUUCUUUUAGAUGAUUUAGUGUUUGUGUAAAUACAUGUGUUAAAUUCCUCUGUUUUUCAAAUUUUUACUCUAUUUUGAAUGCAUCCGAUCAGUUUCAAUUAAUUUUAGAUUUUUUGUUUGAUUAUUCAGUGAUUACAAUUUACAACAAUCAUUAUUUAAUAAUGGAGAUCAUAAACACUCCAUUAAAGCCUAUAACAUAUAUGAGAAGACAGAAGAAAAACAGUGAGGAAUUGGGUAUGGUGGUACCAGACUUGAAUGAGCCUUUGUGUGAAUUAAACAAUGGAAAACAAUCACCAUUGGACAACACUCAAACUCCUCAAGGUUCCAAUUUUUACUCUAAAUUCUGUUUAAGCAUUUUCUUUCCUUGUUUGGUAAUUUUUCUUUACGUUUCUUGUUUAAAAGAAUACUCUCCAUCUACAUUUUGCAAUCAUCCCAGGACAAGUUGGCAAGGUUUGUGAAGGAAACUGUAGCAGAGAACAACAUGCCUGCUGGAGGCAUCGCGAAGGUUGAAUGUAUGAUACAAUUCCUCAAAAAUGAAAAGGUUGGUUUUCAUCUAAAAAUCUGUUAUGUAUAACUAUUGAGGAAAUGAAAUCGAUUGAAGGAAGUUCUUGCCAGGUGUAAUUCUUGCUAUAUUAGAGGUCAAAAAGAAAGGGAAUUUACAUAAGAGUUAUAAAAACGAACUAAUUAGAGCUAAUAGGCUGCUUUACUGUUAGAGUUUCUCCGAAUUUUGGACUGACCCUCUAUUGUGUGUAAACUUCCCCAGAAUAGAGCUAAUGGGAUUGGGGUAGAUUUGUAAUGUACCAAACAUAUACAUGACAUGGAAAAUUUGGGUUCACUAUGGGUGGAAAUAUGGUAGUAUAUAUAUACAUUUAUCUGAAUUCAUAUUCAUUCAUUCACAUUUCAUUCUCAACAUCUUUUUUAAUUGUGCAUAGGCACCACUGCACGAACAUUCAUUUUAAUACAUCUUUUUUCUCUCAGCAUUCAUUUUAAUUGUGCAUAGGCACCACCGCACCAGCUCCAAUGGCGGAAAUCACUUCACCAGAAAGGAUCACUCUUUAUUACUGUAACAGUUUGUAGGAAUUUCUUGUAUUUUAUAAUGAACUAUUGGUGUUCAGGGGUGUAUAAAGUUGUAGUUCCUUUUUGUUCUAAGGUUGAUUUCAUCAUAGCCUUUUGUAUCAUUUUUCCAAAUAGACAUUGAGGUUCAUCCAAGCAUUCGUCAACAAUUCUGGAUUCUCAACACUGGCCCAAGCAUGUACUUGUCAAAUAUACAUGCCUCUCUUAUAAUGUUCUAUGGAAUUUUCAACAUAAUUUGUGGCCACCGUAUCUGAAUUUUCAACGUCAAUUGGUAUUGUUUUACUUGAUUCGAAGCUAGGUAUUAUUUCUCUACUAAUAUCGAUCUAAAUAUUCGGAUGUAAAUAUUGUGUUACAUAUAUGAAAGAUAAAAUGAAAUAUCAUGUAAAAAAUCCCCAAUAUAUUUUCCCUUUAUUUUAUACUUAAAUAACUUUUUGUAAACUACAUCAAUCAACACCCGUAAGCAUGUAGGUUUAAUCAAGAUUAGAAAGAUUAGGAAGAAGUUUCACUAUACUAUUUUUAGUUUUUCUAAUAAUAUUCCAUAUAUUAAGAUUUUUUUUAAUACUUUUUUCUUCUAUUUUAAUAUCGCACAUUCUCUUUAAUUUUUGUUACAUAAUAUUUGCUUUAAAUUCUGCAAAACUUUUAUCUUGUUCCUCCAAAUUUUCUAUAAGUAAAUAAUAAGUAUUAUUUUGUUAUGACUUAUAUAUACCCAAUUAUAUUUGAAUAACCAAUUAUAAUAGCACAAAUAUUACUUUAAUAAAAUAAAUCAUUCGCAUGAUCAUAUCUUUAGAAACAAUCUAAAUAAGAAAAAAAAAGAACUAAAUUUUAAAUAAAACUAAUAUUUACGUGCCUUGGCACGUAACUUCUAACUAGUAUAUAAAUGUGUACAUUGAAUUCUUUAUUCAAAUAAUUAUUUUUGAUUUUUACGUGAUUAUUUAUUGUUCUUUAUUCAAAUAAUCUCACCUAAUAACUAAUAAUGUUUUUUCUUUAAUUUUUUAUUGUAUCACUUUCAAAUAACAUAGAAAAAAACUAGCAUAAAAUUUAGUAUAAGUGCCUCGCACGUAGUUUUUGCUAGGAUAUAUAUAUCCCUAU